GUGGGGAAUUUUGGACAAUGGGGGCAAGCCUGAUCCAGCAAUGCCGCGUGCAGGAAGAAGGCCUUCGGGUUGUAAACUGCUUUUGUACGGAACGAAACGGUCCGGGUUAAUACCCUGGGCUAAUGACGGUACCGUAAGAAUAAGCACCGGCUAACUACGUGCCAGCAGCCGCGGUAAUACGUAGGGUGCAAGCGUUAAUCGGAAUUACUGGGCGUAAAGCGUGCGCAGGCGGUUUUGUAAGACAGGCGUGAAAUCCCCGGGCUCAACCUGGGAAUUGCGCUUGUGACUGCAAGGCUGGAGUGCGGCAGAGGGGGAUGGAAUUCCGCGUGUAGCAGUGAAAUGCGUAGAUAUGCGGAGGAACACCGAUGGCGAAGGCAAUCCCCUGGGCCUGCACUGACGCUCAUGCACGAAAGCGUGGGGAGCAAACAGGAUUAGAAACCCCAGUAGUCC
rnacentral:rRNA from 1 species